AUUUGCAAGACGCUGGACCGGGUCUGACACCUGGCCGGGCUCGAGGUGGGUCUCAGGCCAGCCCGUUGAAAGAAGUCACAAUUAGUGGCCUUCCCCUAUUCGGUGCGGAAGAGAUUUUAGGGUUCCAAUCAAUCGGAUAGGGGCUCCGGUGAAGAUGAAGGAUCUUGGGUUAUUGAGAAUUCUUUUAUGAAAUAUACAUAGGAUUGGAAUUUGAUGGAAAUGGAGGGGGGGAGUUCGUCGGGAUCCGCCGGAGGAACUCAAACCCACCGCCGCUUCUCCCCAGUGCGCUCAAGAGCAUUCUAUAAAUUUACCCAGCAGAACCUUCCAGCUUGUAAACCUGUUCUUACGCCGGGAUGGGUAAUAAUGACUUUUCUGAUCGUGGGCAUUGUUUUUGUACCUGUUGGACUUGUUUGUCUUCAUGCUUCUGAAAGUGUUGUGGAAAUAAUGGAUCGUUAUGACGUUGAAUGUAUACCUGAGCCUUAUAGAAGUAAUAAAAUAGCUUAUAUCAAGGAUAGUUCAAUUUCAAAGAAUUGUACUCGAAUGAUAAAGGUUCAGAAACAUAUGAAAGCACCAAUUUAUAUCUAUUAUGAACUUGAUAACUACUACCAGAACCAUCGGCGGUAUGUAAAAAGUAGGAGCGACAAACAACUCCUUUAUGGAUUGAAGUACAAGGACACAAGUUCUUGCAAACCUGAAGAGACAAGCAAUGGUCUCCCAAUUGUUCCUUGUGGGUUGAUUGCGUGGAGUUUGUUCAAUGAUUCUUAUGCCUUUGUACGUGGUAGUGGAGAAAUGAGUGUCAACAGGAAAAAUAUUGCUUGGAAAAGUGAUCGGGAGCAUAAGUUUGGGAAGCAUGUGAAGCCCUUUAAUUUUCAAAAUGGAACCUUAAUUGGUGGAGGAAAACUUGACCCAAGCAUUCCUUAGUUGAGCGACCAAGAGGAUCUCAUAGUAUGGAUGCGUACUGCUGCUCUGCCUACCUUCAGGAAACUGUAUGGUAUAAUUGAAGAGGAUAUAGAUGCUGAUGAGAUCAUAACAGUACAUCUUUUUAACAACUACAAUACUUACAGCUUUGGGGGGAAGAAAAAGAUUGUUCUUACAACAUCCAAUUGGCUGGGAGGCAAAAAUGGUUUCCUUGGGAUGGCCUAUAUUGCCACUGGCACCUUCUUCAUUCUGAUAUCAGUCUUGUUUGCUUUGAUUCAUGUGAAAAACCCAAGGCCCCAUGGCGAUCCAACUUAUUGGUCUUGGAACAGGAAAAGCAACGCCAGCUAAUGUGAGGUUUCCGGACCAGCAGUUUCAACCCUCGGUCAUAUUUUCAACUUACAAGCUUUAUGAUUGAAAUCUAGGUUCCAGAACAGGUUAUUUUCUUUUGCUUAUCAGGUCUCAAACAAUUCGAUUUGCUGUGCCACUAGGGCGGAUCACUUUCAGAAUCCAUUCAGUUUCAUGUGGCCAAUCAGCGGCUGGGGAUCAUCCAGAUUAGCUAUGGUGGCAUUUAUGCUUGGAGCUGGCACAAUCAAGGGUGACAGAUUUUAAGCAACAUGUCUGUUUUCCUUUCAAAAAUGCUCCCAUGUGUUUCUUUGUGUAUCUACCCACCGGGCUAUUCUCAGCUUAAUGGACAGUUCUAUUUUGGUGUAUAAUUUUAGUAACUCUGUGCAUAAACUGUAACCCUUUUUUUUAAUAUAGAAUUCACGGUUGAAGGCAAUUUUACUGA